rnacentral:rRNA from 1 species
AAAUUGAAGAGUUUGAUCAUGGCUCAGAUUGAACGCUGGCGGCAGGCCUAACACAUGCAAGUCGAGCGGCAGCGGGAAAGUAGCUUGCUACUUUUGCCGGCGAGCGGCGGAC